rnacentral:rRNA from 1 species
AACGAACGCUGGCGGCAGGCCUAACACAUGCAAGUCGAGCGCCCCGCAAGGGGAGCGGCGGACGGGUGAGUAACGCGUGGAACGUGCCCUUUGCUACGGAAUAGCCCCGGGAAACUGGGAGUAAUACCGUAUAAGCCCUACGGGGGAAAGAUUUAUCGGCAAAGGAUCGGCCCGCGUUGGAUUAGGUAGUUGGUGGGGUAAUGGCCAACCAAGCCGACGAUCCAUAGCUGGUUUGAGAGGAUGAUCAGCCACACUGGGACUGAGACACGGCCCAGACUCCUACGGGAGGCAGCAGUGGGGAAUCUUAGACAAUGGGCGCAAGCCUGAUCUAGCCAUGCCGCGUGAGCGAUGAAGGCCUUAGGGUUGUCAAGCUCUUUCGUGGGGGAAGAUAAUGACUGUACCCCAAGAAGAAGCCCCGGCUAACUCCGUGCCAGCCGCCGCCGUAAAAC